UACAGAGGUCUCAAGCGUUGUUCGGAUUCAUUGGGCGUAAAGGGUGCGUAGGCGGCGCGGUAAGUCGGGGUGUGAAAUCUCGGAGCUUAACUCCGAAACUGCAUUCGAUACUGCCGUGCUUGAGGACUGGAGAGGAGACUGGAAUUUACGGUGUAGCGGUGAAAUGCGUAGAUAUCGUAAGGAAGACCAGUGGCGGAAGGCGGGUCUCUGGACAGUUCCUGACGCUGAGGCACGAAGGUCAGGGGAGCAAACGGG
rnacentral:rRNA from 1 species